rnacentral:sRNA from 2 species
AAACGUAACAAGGUCUCCGUUGGUGAACCAGCGGAGGGAUCAUUACCGAGUUUACAACUCCCAAACCCCUGUGAACAUACCUUAAUGUUGCCUCGGCGGAUCAGCCCGCGCCCCGUAAAACGGGACGGCCCGCCAGAGGACCCAAACUCUAAUGUUUCUUAUUGUAACUUCUGAGUAAAACAAACAAAUAAAUCAAAACUUUCAACAACGGAUCUCUUGGUUCUGGCAUCGAUGAAGAACGCAGCAAAAUGCGAUAAGUAAUGUGAAUUGCAGAAUUCAGUGAAUCAUCGAAUCUUUGAACGCACAUUGCGCCCGCUGGUAUUCCGGCGGGCAUGCCUGUUCGAGCGUCAUUUCAACCCUCAAGCCCCCGGGUUUGGUGUUGGGGAUCGGCUCUGCCUUACGGCGGCGCCGCCCCCGAAAUACAUUGGCGGUCUCGCUGCAGCCUCCAUUGCGUAGUAGCUAACACCUCGCAACUGGAACGCGGCGCGGCCAUGCCGUAAAACCCCAACUUCUGAAUGUUGACCUCGGAUCAGGUAGGAAUACCCGCUGAACUUAAGCAUAUCAAUAAGCGGAGGAAAAGAAACCAACAGGGAUUGCCCUAGUAACGGCGAGUGAAGCGGCAACAGCUCAAAUUUGAAAUCUGGCUUUCGGGCCCGAGUUGUAAUUUGUAGAGGAUACUUUUGAUGCGGUGCCUUCCGAGUUCCCUGGAACGGGACGCCAUAGAGGGUGAGAGCCCCGUCUGGUUGGAUGCCAAAUCUCUGUAAAGUUCCUUCGACGAGUCGAGUAGUUUGGGAAUGCUGCUCUAAAUGGGAGGUAUAUGUCUUCUAAAGCUAAAUAUUGGCCAGAGACCGAUAGCGCACAAGUAGAGUGAUCGAAAGAUGAAAAGCACUUUGAAAAGAGAGUUAAAAAGUACGUGAAAUUGUUGAAAGGGAAGCGUUUAUGACCAGACUUGGACUUGGUUAAUCAUCUGGGGUUCUCCCCAGUGCACUUUUCCAGUUCAGGCCAGCAUCAGUUUUCGCCGGGGGAUAAAGGCAGCGGGAAUGUGGCUCUCUUCGGGGAGUGUUAUAGCCCGUUGUGUAAUACCCUGGUGGGGACUGAGGUUCGCGCUUCUGCAAGGAUGCUGGCGUAAUGGUCAUCAACGACCCGUCUUGAAACACGGACCAAGGAGUCGUCUUCGUAUGCGAGUGUUCGGGUGUCAAACCCCUACGCGUAAUGAAAGUGAACGCAGGUGAGAGCUUCGGCGCAUCAUCGACCGAUCCUGAUGUUCUCGGAUGGAUUUGAGUAAGAGCAUACGGGGCCGGACCCGAAAGAAGGUGAACUAUGCCUGUAUAGGGUGAAGCCAGAGGAAACUCUGGUGGAGGCUCGCAGCGGUUCUGACGUGCAAAUCGAUCGUCAAAUAUGGGCAUGGGGGCGAAAGACUAAUCGACUU